rnacentral:rRNA from 1 species
AUGGAUGGAUGUGGUCCAAUGGCUAAAGCUCUGCCAGCUUCUUGUAGACUGGCAGUCUCCGAGAGGAACCUUAACCCCCCGGGUGGCCGGGUGGGAUGGUAUACUUUUUUUUCGCCACAAGUGGGAACUCAGUCCUUGGUAAGACACAAGGGGGGAAGGAAGAUCUUCACUCAUUCAUUAAGUAAGUGCCUGCGGUGA